rnacentral:pre_miRNA from 1 species
AGUAGGAUAACUGGGUAAAAUGGUGGUUUUAUUUCCAAGGAAUCUCCAUAUUGCUUUCCAGAGUGGUUGCAUCAAUUUUCAGUCCCACCAGCAAU